GACAGAGGUGCCGAGCGUUAGGCGGAAUCACUGGGCUUAAAGCGUGUGUAGGCGGACUUCUAAGUACCUUGUGAAAUCCCACGGCUUAACCGUGGAGCUGCUUGGUAUACUGGUUGUCUUGGGCCUCUAGGGGCUACCGGAACAAACGGUGGAGCGGUGAAAUGCGUAGAUAUCGUUUGGAACGCCAAUGGUGAAAACAGGUAGCUGGGG
rnacentral:rRNA from 1 species